AGGCUCUUAGUUUAAACUAAAACAUUUGAUUUCGGCUCAAAAAAUUAUGGUUCAAACCCAUAACUGCCUA
rnacentral:tRNA from 2 species